rnacentral:rRNA from 1 species
AACGAACGCUGGCGGCAUGCCUAACACAUGCAAGUCGAACGAAGCCUUCGGGCUUAGUGGCGCACGGGUGCGUAACGCGUGGGAAUCUGCCCUUGGGUUCGGAAUAACAGUUAGAAAUGACUGCUAAUACCGAAUGAUGUCUUCGGACCAAAGAUUUAUCGCCCAAGGAUGAGCCCGCGUCGGAUUAGCUAGUUGGUGAGGUAAAGGCUCACCAAGGCGACGAUCCGUAGCUGGUCUGAGAGGAUGAUCAGCCACACUGGGACUGAGACACGGCCCAGACACCUACGGGUGGCAGCAGUCGAGAAUUUUUCACAAUGGGCGAAAGCCUGAUGGAGCGACGCCGCGUGGGGGAUGAAUGGCUUCGGCCCGUAAACCCCUGUCAUUCGGGAUCAAAUCUGAUAACCUAACACGUUGUUAGUUGAUAGUACUGAAAGAGGAAGGGACGGCUAACUCUGUGCCAGCAGCCGCGGUAAU